rnacentral:rRNA from 1 species
CAGUAGCGUAUAUUAAAGUUGUUGCAGUUAAAAAGCUCGUAGUUGGAUUUCUGGCUUCGACGGAACUGACCCGCCGUGUUAUGCGUGUGAGUGUCGGGCUCUGUCGGCCAUCCUUCUGGAAAACGUUUCUACCCUUCACUGGGCCGGACUCGCGAUCCAGAACUUUUACUUUGAGGAAAUUAGAGUGUUCAAAGCAGGCUUGCGCUAUGAAUACAUUAGCAUGGAAUAAUGAUCUAGGACUUUGGUUCUAUUUUGUUGGUUUCUAGGACUGAAGUAAUGAUUGAUAGGGAUAGUUGGGGGUGGCUAGUAUUCAGCGGCCAGAGGUGAAAUUCUUGGAUUCGCUGAAGACUAACUUAUGCGAAAGCAUUCACCAAGGAUGUCUUCUUUAAUUCAAGAACGAAAGUU